AGAGAUCCUGGAUGUGAUUGAGGAGGGUUUUUGGUUUUUCUAAAUCCUCUAGAUUCUUACCUUGUUUAAAAUCCGUGCAAAAAGAUUUUCUUUUGAUGCCAUUUUGAUGGCGAAACGACCCGAAUCAUCGGUUGGAUACUCUGUCACUAUACCAUCUCCUCAGCAAGGAACUGCCCAGUCACCAAUUUUUAGUCCUCCCCCAUUCCCAACAACAACAACAGGUCCUAUAUUUCCUCCGCCACCAAUUGUACAACCAAACCAGAUUCCUUCUCCAUCUAUGAAGACUCCUAAUUUACCAUCACCUGCUAAUGGAGUUAGAACUGGAAGCCCUGCUCCUCAUUUGAGUACCCCACCUGGACCUCCUGUGUUUUCGUCACCGCUCCAACCUGCUGCUGUUCCGUUCAGAACUUCUCCGGCCACCCCGCCCUCCUCAGCAAGGCACUGCCCAGUCACCAAUUUUUAGUCCUCCCCCAUUCCCAACAACAACAACAGGUCCUAUAUUUCCUCCGCCACCAAUUGUACAACCAAACCAGAUUCCUUCUCCAUCUAUGAAGACUCCUAAUUUACCAUCACCUGCUAAUGGAGUUAGAACUGGAAGCCCUGCUCCUCAUUUGAGUACCCCACCUGGACCUCCUGUGUUUUCGUCACCGCUCCAACCUGCUGCUGUUCCGUUCAGAACUUCUCCGGCCACCCCACAGCCUGUUGCCUAUUCCUCUGCUUCGUCUCUCCCCACUUCAUCACCUCCCCAGUUCUCGAAUGGCUCUGUUGAUCUGCAUCACCAGAGUUC
rnacentral:lncRNA from 1 species